rnacentral:misc_RNA from 1 species
AACCUAGCACACCUGCGGUGUGUACCUGCGGAGGGAUCAUUACCGAGUUUACAACUCCCAAACCCCUGUGAACAUACCUAUACGUUGCCUCGGCGGAUCAGCCCGCGCCCUGUAAAACGGGACGGCCCGCCCGAGGACCCUAAACUCUGUUUUUAGUGGAACUUCUGAGUAAAACAAACAAAUAAAUCAAAACUUUUAGCAACGGAUCU